AUAGAACGCUGGCGGCAUGCUUUACACAUGCAAGUCGAACGGCAGCGCGGGCUUCGGCCUGGCGGCGAGUGGCGAACGGGUGAGUAAUACAUCGGAACGUGCCCAGUAGUGGGGGAUAGCUCGGCGAAAGCCGGAUUAAUACCGCAUACGACCUGAGGGUGAAAGCGGGGGAUCUUCGGACCUCGCGCUAUUGGAGCGGCCGAUGGCAGAUUAGCUAGUUGGUGGGGUAAAGGCCUACCAAGGCGACGAUCUGUAGCUGGUCUGAGAGGACGACCAGCCACACUGGGACUGAGACACGGCCCAGACUCCUACGGGAGGCAGCAGUGGGGAAUUUUGGACAAUGGGCGAAAGCCUGAUCCAGCAAUGCCGCGUGUGUGAUGAAGGCCUUCGGGUUGUAAAGCACUUUUGGCGGGAACGAAAAGGACUGUGCCAAUACCACGGUUCGAUGACGGUACCCGCAGAAUAAGCACCGGCUAACUACGUG
rnacentral:rRNA from 1 species